UGGGGAAUAUUGGACAAUGGGCGCAAGCCUGAUCCAGCCAUGCCGCGUGUGUGAAGAAGGCCUUCGGGUUGUAAAGCACUUUUGUCCGGAACGAAACGGUUGGCGUGAAUAUCGCCGACUACUGACGGUACCGGAAGAAUAAGCACCGGCUAACUACGUGCCAGCAGCCGCGGUAAUACGUAGGGUGCGAGCGUUAAUCGGAAUUACUGGGCGUAAAGCGUGCGCAGGCGGUUUUGUAAGCCAGAUGUGAAAUCCCCGGGCUUAACCUGGGAAUGGCAUUUGGGACUGCAAGGCUGGAGUUUGGCAGAGGAGACUGGAAUUCCUGGUGUAGCAGUGAAAUGCGUAGAUAUCAGGAGGAAUACCGAUGGCGAAGGCAGGUCUCUGGGCUAUAACUGACGCUCAUGCACGAAAGCGUGGGGAGCAAA
rnacentral:rRNA from 1 species